GUGGGGAAUAUUGGACAAUGGGCGAAAGCCUGAUCCAGCCAUGCCGCGUGUGUGAAGAAGGUCUUCGGAUUGUAAAGCACUUUAAGUUGGGAGGAAGGGCAGUAAGUUAAUACCUUGCUGUUUUGACGUUACCGACAGAAUAAGCACCGGCUAACUUCGUGCCAGCAGCCGCGGUAAUACGAAGGGUGCAAGCGUUAAUCGGAAUUACUGGGCGUAAAGCGCGCGUAGGUGGUUCAGUAAGUUGGAAGUGAAAUCCCCGGGCUCAACCUGGGAACUGCCUCCAAAACUGCAUGACUAGAGUACGGUAGAGGGUAGUGGAAUUUCCUGUGUAGCGGUGAAAUGCGUAGAUAUAGGAAGGAACACCAGUGGCGAAGGCGACUACCUGGAUUGAUACUGACACUGAGGUGCGAAAGCGUGGGGAGCAAACAGGAUUUGAUACCCGAGUAGUCC
rnacentral:rRNA from 1 species